GACGAACGCUGGCGGCGUGCCUAAUACAUGCAAGUAGAACGCUGAAGAGAGGAGCUUGCUCUUCUUGGAUGAGUUGCGAACGGGUGAGUAACGCGUAGGUAACCUGCCUUGUAGCGGGGGAUAACUAUUGGAAACGAUAGCUAAUACCGCAUAACAAUGGAUGGCACAUGUCAUUUAUUUGAAAGGGGCAAUUGCUCCACUACAAGAUGGACCUGCGUUGUAUUAGCUAGUAGGUGAGGUAAUGGCUCACCUAGGCGACGAUACAUAGCCGACCUGAGAGGGUGAUCGGCCACACUGGGAAUGAGACACGGCCCAGACUCCUACGGGAGGCAGCAGUAGGGAAUCUUCGGCAAUGGGGGCAACCCUGACCGAGCAACGCCGCGUGAGUGAAGAAGGUUUUCGGAUCGUAAAGCUCUGUUGUAAGUCAAGAACGGGUGUGAGAGUGGAAAGUUCACACUGUGACGGUAGCUUACCAGAAAGGGACGGCUAACUACGUG
rnacentral:rRNA from 1 species